rnacentral:lncRNA from 1 species
AAAGUGGAGGAAAUGGCGACGAGGAAAGUGGCGGCGGCCCAGAGGAAGGCGCCGAGGGCGAUGACGUGGGCACGGUUGUGGCGGGACGCGAGGUAAGCGGCGAGCGGAUAGCAAGCGGACUGGACAAUGGAUCGGAACAGGGUCAACGACCCGAGGCCCGUCGGAUCGGCGUGCAGGGCGGCGCCCACCUCCUUGUACACCCCCGGGAGCAGGGACUCGUCGGCCCUCUCCAUGAUGGACGCCAGAUUCACCAGCACCAGCGUCACCGUCUCCGACUUCAUCGCGCCUUCUUGCGCGCCGUUCCAAGAACGGAGGAAGAUCGGAGACUUCUUCUCCGUCACUGCGCCUUCGAGGGAAGAAAUUUCUUUGUUUGACUUGACUGGCGUGUUGGUGGGGACUGUAGUCGGUGGAGGAUUUGAUUGGCCGCGGGAGGGCAUAGCGUGGGGGCCUCAGCCGAGCGGAGCGUGGGCCGAAGACCGUACGAUCUGGAGGGUGUCCCGCUUGUACGGACGAGAUAUCGUGAGAUGGGUCGAAGCAGUUGUUGCGGGAAUUUCGCCUUUUGGUGCGUGGAAAGAAAUUGAGGAGGACGACUUGUCCACCAUUUUCGGACAAGAUGCUUCUGUUUCUAAUUUGCUCGCCCAAUCAAAACGCGUUGCUUCUUUCCAGGACACACAACUAUAGAGGUAUAAACAAGGGCAAAAAUAGAAAGUGAGGCAAAUUCAUAGGAAUCUCGCUUAGGUAUCUCGUUGGACGAAUAGUUUUUUUUCUGUUAAAUAUAUUAUGUAUUGGUCAAUUGAAUUUUAAACAUUUUAUUUUUAGUUAAUCGAGUCAUAAAUAUUUUAACCUAGAUUCGAUUCCGUUCUAAUGUUGUCAUCAGCAACGUUUCGUGAACAAAAAUUUACCUUUUUCGUUCUACAAACUAAUCAUGAUUUUUAAUCAUAAUUAAGGUAUAUAUGUGUGUGUGUGUGUUCUACUUCAUAAGAAUUCCAAAAAUUUAUUUUUCAAGAAGUUGGAAAUUUUUUUAGAGUGCUAUUUGCUCAUUAAAAGGUUUAAAUUGAACAAAAGAUUGUAAAUAAAAGAUACUUAUGGUGUGUAUGAUGAUAUUUCUAUUUUUGAGAAUAAUUUCUAUUCAUAAAUAGUUUUUUUCUAUUUUUAUUCCUUAAACAAAUUUUGAGCAAAAAAAACGCGUUUAAUAACUAUAUAAAAUUUCUAUUCUCGGAAUAAAAAAAAUAGAAAUGUGUUUGAUACGUCCAUAAAAGCUUCUAUUCCCAAUUUUUUUUCAUUUUAUAAAAAUAUCAGUGGAAACUCAACAGUUGUUGUUUAGAUAAAACUAGACUUUUGUGAGAUUUAAUUGAUCAAGAUAUUCUAAAAUGACCUUAGAAAAUCCAAUGCAACAGUUAAUCAAAGAUGAAUGGUUGAAAAUGGCAACGGAGAGUCCUAGUGAUUUGUCACUCAUGACAUUAGAGGUUGACUAGUAAAUAUUUAGGCAUUACAAUAAACAGGUGCAUAGACAUUUUGAGUUUUUUUAGAUGCAAGAAAACUAGCAAACGUUGCCUCGUGAAAUUGUUAGGAUAAAACAGCUGAGGAUGGAGGUGAUUCUAAAGUUGGUGCACUUCUUUACACAAACUCCAAACAAAUGACAUCGAAAAUCCAUGGAGCACAGGUUGAUUCAACUGCAAUGAACGUAAGACAAAUGGUAAUGCAAAAAAACUUCUUUAGAGCCAUAUAAUUUUCUAUUAAAAUAGAAUUGCAGAUGAUCUAAAAGGAUGUCUCCAAUAGAAUCUUAAAGGAAGAAGACGUCUUCUCUCAGCCCAAGUGUCACGGCCAAAAGGUUUCUGGAGCUAAAGGGUCGUGCCUUGCUGCAAAGGACCUCCUGCGAUCGCUAGGAUUCCUGACAAGUCUUCUUCCAAAACUUUCCAAGGGCGGGCGAUAUCAUCAUUACGAUAAAUUCUAGAAGUCUCUAACCAUUAAUGUGGGUAGUUGAUAGCUGUCAUUAGUAUCGGUAGAUAUGGCAGUAUGAUCUCAUCCGCUGGAUGAAUUCUAGAUCAACGGAUAUAAUGAGAGAAGCUCUAGUAUAAGAAAGGGUGCCCUCCUCCUCAUUUGUAUUCAUCAAAUCCUUUUAGCAAUACAAAGCUUCUUUCUUUCUAAAGCUUCUCUCUCUAGAAACUUUCUCUCUCUACAAUACAAUCCGAGUGUGCGAUUGAUGAAGCGAGGCUUGGCUUAGGCAAUCCAAAAGAGCCUGAGUUGCCGCACGAUCACGAUCCCAAUCGAUCGGCUCGUGACAUAAGUCUCCAAGUUGUCAAGACGUCACAUCAUCUUUAAAAGAAAAGUACAUUAAAAAAUCCAUAUAUGAAAGCCCUAAAUGCUUUGUCAAUUUUGAAUCCAAUUUUCAUCAAAAGAUUUUCACAUUUUUUUAUACUAAACUUAUUCUAAACUGGAAUUAACACUAAAAUCUAGAAAAACAUCUCAAAAAUCUAAUUUCUAAUUUUUUUUCCUAAAUUUAUAAUAAAAAAAAAAUGAUUCUGAAAAAUGGGGACUCUAAGACCCAAGUCUCAUCUAGAUCUUGUGUUAAUCAUGUAAAGACGAGCACUAGGUUACACUGGGCUUGUUUUUCUAAAAUAACCUUGUUUCUCUUUAAAAAGUAUAUAUUUUUUUACUUUUUAUUUUUAUUUCGAAUCUAUUCUAACUAAUAAUUUAUUUUGGAAAAUAGAAAAAGAACUUACGUACACAAUUAAAUUUUGUUCUUUUUUUUUUCAAAAAAAAAUAAAAGAACAGAAAACGGAAACAUAGAAAUGUAACCAAAAGGCCUUAGCCUCUCCUCUGUCUUUUGACCCUGGACACUCCCAUGUAGUCAAACUGUCCAUUCACCAUCCCAAGUAACGAAAACUCGAAGGCAUUUUAUAUUUUUGGAUUCCUCAAUUCUUCAAACGCUAUAAGACGGAUGGCAGAUAUACGACACUUUCUAACAUUUUAUGGAUUUUAUUAACGAAUCCUUUUAGAGAACUCUUCUAAUCAUUCUUCCUGUGAAAAUAUGUUAUUUUUCAACACACUAAUUACCUAUACACGAGAGAAAUUGUAUAUUGGAGAUAACAAAUGCACACUACUAUGAUAGACCUCGAUCAAGGUUGUCUAUGGUCACAAAGAGCUGCGACCUUGAUCUAAGUUCAAAGUCAUUACGGUUGCGAGCUAUGCAUGGCCUGGAGGAGGUUGGCAGCCUCGCGUGGGGAGACAACAAUCACACUAGAGAUGGGGUGGGGUGGAGGAUGGUUGUAGCACCGAAGACGUGAAUGGCAGUCGAAGGUGGUCGACAAUGGGCAGGAGCAGCAAAAGCUUGAUUAGGGUACUGGAUUAGGAUUGUCUAAUUAGGGUUUGUUUUAGAAUUUUGGGUAUUCUAAAAGAUGAGCAGAGGUAAUUUGCAAAGAAAGUAACAAUGGGAGAUGCAAAUUGGUACUUUUGAAAGGAAAAUUAGGGGUUGCCCGUGCAUUGCCAUUGCCGGGCGCCGCCACAGCCUUUGCAAGGCAAAUUAAGGGUGUGCAUUGAUCAUAUUUCAAUCCGAAAAUCAAAUCGGAUCAAUCAGUUCUGAGAUGCUCCCAUUGGAAUGGGUCUAGUUUUCAGUUCCUAGGAAGGAAUUAUAUUGAUUUGAACGGAUCGAAUCAAUAGAAACAGCUUAGAUUAUUUUUAUUUUUAUUUUUCAUAGCAUAAACCAUAAAAUAAAAUAAAAAAUUAAAGACAAAGUAUUGACCAAGCAGUUAUGUUCCUGCUUUCUUGUGAGUCUUUUUUUUUUUUAAUAGUAGAAACCAUAAAGAAAAGAAAAUAACACCGCUGGUCUCCCAGUGGACAGGGUUGGUUGCUAGUUCCAUAAACUGGGAAUUGACUCUAUCUAGUAAAGUUUCUAAUUUCAAGAUGAGAACCGACUUAUCCCAGAACCGAUUACCCAUAGGUUAAAUACAGAGUAAUUUAUUUAAUUGCAACAACAUUGACAGAACAUACCAAAAACGCCAUACACAACGAUCCAAAAUAAACCGGUCUCCCUGUUGGAAUCAAUUUAAGUGCACUCGAUAUCUGAAAGAUAAACAGCUUGAAAUCCAUCGACUUGGAGAUGACUCAACAAUGAAGUGGAAAAAAAUAGUUAUCAUAGUAGUCACCUACAUUGACUGUCUCUUGGAGAAGAAAUGCCUCCAACAUGAAAAGCUUUUACAGAGACGAGUGCUCUAAGUUUGGUUGAUUUGAUGAUUCCUAGAAAGGUCAGGAAUUGCAGGUUUGCAUUAUUCUUUGACGUCUGCAAAGGUUAGCUGCCUCGAAAGCAAGGAUUUUUCGUCAUCGUCAUCCAAGUCGAUGCUUUCGUCCAUUCCGUAAUUAAUGUCAAUCACGCUCCUCUCCUUCUCAUAACUGCUGCUCGACUUUGACAUAUCAAGGCCGUCCAGAUUUUCUUCUGAGUGAGGGCUAUCGACCUCCAUCUGCUGCAUUUCCGAUUCAAUCAGCGCAGUCAUUCUUGCACGGUCUCUAUCUCUCGGGUAUGUGCAGUAGAGAAAAGAGUAAAUAAGGCAACAGAUCAUCAUUGGGAUUCCAAUAGCUGUGUAAAGGGCUUUUGCAAGCGAUGCAGCGUUUUCCCUAUCUGUUUCUAUCUCUUCAGAGUUGGAUGAUCCCUUGGGAAUUGGCUUAUACCCGUAUACAUGCUGAGCCAGAAUCCCAACCACUGGGGGAGCGAAUGAUGCCAGGACGGACUCAAAAGAGCGAUCCAGUGCAUAGAUGCUUGUUCUGGAUUUCUCAGGGACUAUCUCUGCAAAUAUUGGACUGUGCACUGCGUUUAUAUUUGCAAGAAAUCAACUGGAGAAGUACUUUAGCAACUAAAGCUGCUAAUUUGGCACACAGAAUUGCAAUAAGUGCAGUGCAACAAAGGGGAAGCACCAUUGAAAACAUAGUCUAUUCAGACAAGCAAUAUAUUGAGAAACCAAUUUCCUACAAGAAGAGGUAAUAGGAUGUACUUAUUACACUUACUUGUUCGUAGCUGGGCCAUUCCAGGAUAUGACCAGACCCAUGAUGAACAGAACCAGACCGUGCAUGAAGGCUGUCGAAGGGUUGUCAGGCAAUGCCAGGAGCAAGACCGCAGCUAAAGGAAUCGCCAAACCAGAACUUAUCUGCGACAGAAUUAUUCUACCCGAGUUGGGCAAGCGUUUGGCAAGAAUAUCCCCCAUGUAGCCUCCGAAGAGACCACCAAGUGAACCAGCAAUAAUGAAGAUUGUCGUGAGGAAUGCUGUUGUAUUGUGAGUGAAGCCAAUGAGUUCCAACCACAUUGCAGUAAAUGAAAGAGCUGACCAUGGGAAUGACCCAGACACGCCCUGAGCCACUAUUAUCUGAAAAGACGGGAUCCUCAUCACAGAUUUUGCUUCUUUAACCAGGUCUUUGAGCUCUGACCAGAAGGACUUAUGUGAAUUCAGAUCUUCAGCUUGAUUUAUGUCAUCAGAAUGUCGAGGAUCAAUAGCAAAGAAACGCACCAAAAUACCAACGACAACGCUUACGAUGGCGACCAGGUGAAAAGCAAUUCUCCAACCAGGAAUUCCCAGGAAGGAUGUUGAGGCAAUUAAAACAGAACACAGCGAUCCAAUGAUGGAGCCAAUGUUGCCUGUUAGCUGCAGCCAUCCAAAUGCCAUCCCACGGUUGCUAUCGUCUGUAGAGUCCGCAACAAGAGACAGAACUGCGGGUAUUACUAUUGCAAGUCCAAUCCCAUUCAAGCCUCUUGAAAUCGCUACCUGGAAAAGAAAAGGGAGAUGAUACUAAGAAAGAAAAGGUACAUCAUGAUUGCAUACACAAAUUCUUAGACAACAGGCCUUCUUUCAGAUAGUGACAAUUUGAACUCAGAAAGCGAAGAUUUGGAGGCAGUUAACAACUAUAGUCAUUUAUUUCUUUACUUCAGAUUUGAUAACCACUUAAUUUUGUGCGUUUGAGUCGCUGCCAUUUCCUCCUAAAUAUAAUGAUAUCAUGGACACAAUAGAUCAACGCCAACUCAUUUAAAUCUCUGUCAAAGAGUUUCCUUCAGAUGACCUCGUAUGCAGUCAUGGUUCAUAUAACACACUUCUAGCAACCUAAUUGUAUCUAGUGAAUGCUGGAAGCUUUUACAUCUUCUCUUCCUUCCUGAUUCUUUUCAGAGCUCGUUACAGGUAAACUUUGCUCAAGUCUCAAACUCUGCAUGCAUACGCAAUUUUUUUGGAAGAGGGUUUGCAUUUGGCAAGUUCAAAGCAAAUGGUAAAUCGGAAUUCCUUUAAAUAUCAGUCUCAUUCAAUAACAGAUAAUAUAAAGCACUGCCACAUUUACUCGGUAUUGCUAAUAACAGAUGGUCAAUAAACCUAGAUCGAGCAGCAGCAUUACUCCACACGCUGCCCAGAUCAGCUCAGUUCCAUCACGCCGACAAAUUUUAAAGGGCAAACAACCGUGCCACAAGCUACGUAAUUACAUCAUCCGAGCAGAGUGCCAUAGUAGGGCAUUGGGAUACCAACCGCUAGUUGCAAUAUUCAAACUAUCCAGGUCUCUAGAACACGGAACAAGAAAUAAAAUGCUUCCAUUACUCAAACAUUAUACUAUGCUAAACUUCAAAUUUCAGUACCCUUUUACUAGGUCUUCAGAGAAACCUCAAUAAACAAAAGAACUAGACCAAAUCCACGUCUCCUUCCAACUGUCAUUCAAGAACAAGCAACUGAAAUAUAAAACGAGGAAAACGGAAAACAACCCAACCACCCACCCAUCAAACUAAACCCAACCCAAUCCCUCCCUCACCAAACUAAAUCCCACCCACGAAGAGAGAGAGAGAAGACCUGCAGGAAAGUGGAGGAAAUGGCGACGAGGAAAGUGGCGGCGGCCCAGAGGAAGGCGCCGAGGGCGAUGACGUGGGCACGGUUGUGGCGGGACGCGAGGUAAGCGGCGAGCGGAUAGCAAGCGGACUGGACGAUGGAUCGGAACAGGGUCAACGACCCGAGGGCCGUCGGAUCGGCGUGCAGGGCGGCGCCCACCUCCUUGUACACCCCCGGGAGCAGGGACUCGUCGGCCCUCUCCAUGAUGGACGCCAGGUUCACCAGCACCAGCGUCACCGUCUCCGACUUCAUCGCUCGCGCGUUCUUGCGCCGUUCCGAGAACGUGAGGCAGAUCGGAGACUUCUUCUUCGGUUUGACUGGCGUGUUCGUGGGGACUGUGGAGGAUUGAUUGGCUGCGGGAGGGCGUAUCGCGGGGGCUGCAGCCGAGCGUGGGGCGAAGACCGUACGAUCCGGAGGGCGUCCGGCAUGUGCGGACGAGAUAUCGUGGGAAGGGUCGAAGGAGUUGCUGGGGGAUUUUUGCCUUUCGGUGCGGGGAAGCAAAUUGAUAAGGACAACGUGCCGACCAUUUUCGGACAAGAAGCAUAUCUUUCUAUUAUGCUCGCCCAAUCAGGGCGCAUUGCUUCUUUCUGGGUUCUGUCCUAAAAUCUAUGGGACCCGAAAAUAGAUUUUCAAACAAGCAAUCGAGGUUUAUUCUUUUGAGACCCGACAUCGAUGAUCUGAUCGUUAAGGAUCUGUAUAAGUGUCGAUACAUCUACUUUUAAAAAUGGGGGCGAAAGACUACUGUGAAUUGUAUUACAUCUCACGUGGUGAAUAAACCGACUUUCUAUUUGACUAAAAAAGAACAAAUUGACCUUUUUAAUUAAGGUAGAUCAUAAAUGAAGACCAUUGAUGCCCAACUAGAAGAUUAGUGAGGAUUGGCUUCAUUAUAAUCUUAUUGAGAGCAAAUUUCUGAAUGAUUGAAACUAUCAAGAAAUUCGGCCCCAUUAUAAUUACAUAACACAACUUUUAACACCCUCCAUUGCAUGUAAUUCAAAUCUUAAAUGUAAUGCAUUAAAUUGUGGAAGUAAUCACAUCAUACACACAACUAUAUUAGUAUAAGAAAAGGACAAAAAUAUAAAGUGAGGCAUAUCGAUAAUAGAGUGAAUCUCACAUUUGAGCUUGUAUCAUGUAUUCUAACAUCAUGUCGGACGAACCAAUUUUUUGGGGAUUGAACAUGUUAUUAUUCAAUUCUAAACAUUUUAUCUUCAAUCAAUUGAAUUAUAAACCUUUUAACCAAGAUUUGAUUGAGUCCUAAUGUUGUCAUCAAGAACUAUUGAAUUUUUUUUUACCUUUUUCAUGUUGCAAACUAAUCAUGAUUUUAACCAUGAUUUUAACCAUAAUCGAGGAAUUUAUGUAUAUAUUUUGUCCAACAUUGAUAAAAGAAUCUCCUUCUAAGAAUUAAUCAAAAACAUAAAUAAAAAAACAUGAAUUUAUGCUUCAUAAGAAUUCCCAAUAAUUUAUUUUUUGAGAAGGUUGAAAUUUUUCGGAGUUCUAUUUGCUUAUCAAAGGUUCAAAUUGAACCAAAAAAAAAAUGUAAAAUAAAGAUAUUUAGGGCUUAUUCGGUAACAUCUUCAUUUCUCCUUUUUUCGGUUCUAGUUUUUUUGUUUCUUGGAAUAAAAAGGAACAAAAAUUUGUUUGUGUACAUUGGUAAAUUUUUUUAUUCCCCUAAAUAGAUCAAUGGCCAUGGAAAAGAUUUGAUACAAGAAUAAAAAUUAGAAAAUAUCUACUUUUGUGGUCCCAGGAACCAAAAAAGAAAAUAAUGUUAUUUUAGAAAAACAAGUUCAGCGUGAUCUGAUGCUUAUCUUUACAUAAUCGUCAUAAGAUCCAAGUGAGAUUUACAUAUGGACCGAGUCUUGUCACUCAAUUCGAGUCCCCAAUUUUGAAAUAAAAAAUAAAAAAUUCAGAAAUUAAGGAAAACAUUUUAAAUUUUGAUUUUGAGUAGUUUACUAGAUUUUAGUGCUAAUUCUAAUUUAGAAUUAGUUUAAACGUAAAAAAAAAUGUGAAAUAUUUUUUAUGAAAAUUGAAUCUUAAAUUCAAUUACCUCUUAGGGCUUUAUCAUAUGGAUUUUUAAAUGCCUUUUUCGGACAAUGGUAUGUUGUGACAGCUUGACGAUUUAGCUGGGGAUUUUUAAAUGCCUUUUUUUAAGGGAUAACAGAAUGUGGCGACAGCUUGACGAUUUCAUUGAGAGAAUACAUCUUCUUCCCUUAACAUUCUAUGAGAGACAUCCUUUAAUAUUAUCAACAAUUCUAUUUUAAUAGAAAAUUAGAUGGCUCUGAAUAAAUCUUUUGUAUUAUCAUUUGUCUUAUGUUCAUAAUAAUCGAAUAGGGCUAUGUUCCAUGGAUUUAUGAUAUCAUUUGCUUAAAGGUUUGAUGUUUUUGUACAAAUAAGUGCACCAACUUUAGGAUCACCCCCUUCUUAGUGGUUUCAUCCUUGCUCAUUCCACCGGGAAGAGUUUGCUCUUUUUCUUACCAUUCUUAUUGUGGAAAUAAUUUAUUUUUCAAUACACUAAUUACCUAAAACGCAAGAGAGAUGGAAUAUUGAAGAUAACAGACGCGCCCUACUAUGUUAGACCUCGAUCAAGGUCGUCUAUGGUCAUGAAGAGGUUGGGACCUUGAUCUAAGGUCAAGGUCAUCAAUGUCACGGGCUACCCAUGGCCUAGAGGAGGUUGGUGGCCUCGCCUUAAAGAUGGAGAGGGUUGAAUGAUGGCUGUAGUAUCCAAGAUGCGAAUGGCGAUCGGAAGUGGUCGAUCGCCGGCAAGAGGGGUGAAAGCUUAAUUAGGGUACCUAGAUUAGACUCGUUUAAUUAGGGUUUGUUUUGGAAGUCUAGGGACUAGAACAGAGGUUAUCUGAAGAAAAAAAAAACGAGGCUAUGUAUGAAUAAAUCUAAGUUGUUUUGCGAUCGAAUAUGCAAUUUGGUGUCCAACAUGAAACACAAGAUGCAAAAUGGUACUUUUGAAAGGAAAAUUAGGGGUUGCCUUCACAUUGCCACGUCGGGCCGCCAUCGCCGCAGCCGCUACCAUUGACCUUCACUAGGAAAAUUAACAGUGUGCAUUGGUUCCAAUCCAUUUGGAGAUUGAACCAGACUAGCUGGUUCUGGGUAAUCGGUUUGGCUCCUAGUUCCUAGGGAGGAACCAUAUCAACCAGAUCGGACCGAACCGGCAAAAACAACCCAUAUUAUUUUUAAUCUCUUUAUAGCAUAAACCAUUAAAAAGAAAAAAUUGAACGACAAAUUAUUGACUAAGCAGUACAUUCCUGGUUCCUUGUGAAUUUAUUUCAUUUUUUCAAUUUUCUCAAAGCAGAAACCAUAAAGAAAAUAAAAUAACACUGUUGGUUUCCGGGUGGACAAGGUCCGUCGCCAGUUCCAUUGACUGGGAACCAAUCCUAUCGGAUCUAAUUUCUUAUUUUAGGAUGAGAACCGACCCACCACAGAACUGAUUACUAGUAGGGCAAAUACAGGGUAAUGUUAUUAAAUUGCAACAACAUUGACAGAACAGACCGAAACACCACAGAGGACGAUCCAAAAUAGAAUGAUCUCCCUGUCUCCCUGUUCGAGUCAAUUUAAGUGCACUCAAUAUGUAAACAGCCUGAUAUGCAUUGGAUUACAGAUGACACCAUAAUGAAAAGGAAAUACAUAGCUAUCAUGGUAGUCACCUACAUUAACUUUCUCUUUUUACAAGAGUCAAGAUCACAUCUCCAGCCAAUAUUUUCUCGUAGAAGUGUCAAGAUCACAUCUCCCGGACAUGCAUCCCCAUAUGAACAGCUUUACAGAGACAAGUGCUCUAAAGUUGGUUGAUCUUAUAAUUCCUAGAAGAGUCAGGACUUGCAGGUUUGCAUUAUUCUUUGACAUCUGCAAAGGUUAGCUGUCUCGAAAGCAAGGAUUUUUCGUCGUCGUCAUCCAAGUCAAUACUUUCAUCCAUUCCGUCAUCGAUGUCGAUCAUGCUCCUCUCCUUCUCAUAACGGCCAGUCAACUUUACACUAUCAAGGUCAUCAGGAUUUUCUUCUGAGUGAGGGCUAUCGACCUCCAUCUGCUGCAUUUCUGAUUCAAUCAGCGCAGUCAUUCUUGCACGGUCUCUGUCUCUCGGGUACGUGCAGUAGAGGAAAGAGUAAAUAAAGCAACAGAUCAUCAUUGGGAUUCCGAUAGCUGUGUAAAGGGCUUUUGCAAGCGAUGCAGCAUUUUCCCUAUCUGUUUCUAUCUCUGCAGAGUGGGACGAUCCCUUGGGAAUUGGCUUAUACCCAAAUACAUGCUUAGCCAGUUUCCCUACCAUUGGGGGAGCGAAUGAUGCUAUGACGGACUCAAAAGAGCGAUCCAGUGCAUAGAUGCUUGUUCUGGAUUCCUCAGGGACUAUCUCUGCAAAUAUUGGACUAUGCACUGCGUUUAUAUUUGCAAGAAAUCAAUUGGAGAAGUACUUUAGCAACUAAAGCUGCUAAUUUGGCACACAGAAUUGCAGUAAGUGCAGUGCUACAAGGGGAAGCACCAUUGAAAACAUAGUCUAUUCGGACAAGCAAUAUAUUGACAAAACCAAGAAGAGGUGGCAGGAUAUACUAGUUACACUUACUUGUUCGUAGCUGGGCCAUUCCAGGAUAUGAUCAGACCCAUGAUAAACAGAACCAGACCGUGCAUGAAAGCUGUGGAAGGGUCAUCAGGCAAUGCCAGGAGCAAGACCGCAGCUAAAGGAAUCGCCAAACCAGAACUUAUCUGCGACAAAAUUAUUCUACCUGAGUUGGGCAAGCGUUUGGCCAGAAUAUCCCCCAUCCAGCCUCCGAAGAGACCGCCAAGUGAGGCGGCAAUAAUGAAGAUUGUCAUGAGCAAUGCUGUUGUAUUGUGAGUGAAGCCAAUCAGUUCCAACCACAUUGCAGCAAAUGAAAGAGCCGACCACGGGAAUGACCCGGACACACCCUGAGCCACUAAUAUCUGAAAAGAUGGGAUCCUCAUGACCGAUUUCGCUUCUUUAACCAGUUCUUUGAGUUCUGACCAGAAGGACUUCUGUGGAUUCAGAUCUUUCGCUACGUUUCUGUCUUCAGAAUGUCGAGGAUCGUUAGCAAAAAGCCGCACCAAAACACCAACGACGACGCUCACGAAGGCGACCAGGUGAAAAGCAAUUCUCCAACCGGGGAUUCCCAGGAAGGAUGUCGAGGCUAUUAAAACAGAACAGAGCGAUCCGAUGAUGGAGCCGAUGUUACCCGUGAGCUGCAGCCAUCCAAACGCCAUCCCACGGUUGCUAUCAUCUGUAGAGUCUGCAACAAGGGACUGAACUGCAGGUAUUACUAUCGCGAGUCCGAUCCCAUUCAAGCCUCUAGAAAUCGCUACCUGGAAAACAAAACAGAAACAGACCAAAUUCACAUCUUUCCCAUUUGUCAUUCAAGAACAACUGAACAAGCAACCGAAAUAUAAAACGACGAAAACGGAAAGCAACCCAACCACUCAACCAUCAAACUAAACACAACCCAAUCACUCCCUCCCCAAACUCAAUCCUACCCACGAAGAUAUAUAUAUAUAUAUAUAUAUAUAUAUAUAUAUAUAUAUAUAUAUAUAUAUAUAUAUACAUAGAGAGAGAGAGAGAGAGAGAGAGAGAGAGAGAGAGAGAGAGAGGGUACCUGUAGGAAAGUGGAGGAAAUAGCGACGAGGAAAGUGGCGGCGGCCCAGAGGAAGGCGCCGAGGGCGAUGAUGUGGGCACGGUUGUGGCGGGAGGCGAGGUAAGCGGCGAGCGGAUAGCAAGCGGACUGGACGACGGCUCGGCACGUCGUCAGCGACCCGAGGGCCGUCGGGCCGGCGUGCAGGGCGGCACCGACCUCCUUGUACACGCCCGGGAGCAGAGACUCGUCGGCCCUCUCCAUGAUGGACGCCAGGUUCACCAGCACCAGCGUCACCGUCUCCGGCUUCAUCGUCCAACGGAGGAAAUUCGGAAACUCCUUGUUGGUCUUUGACUCGGCGCCCUUCCGUGG